GUUCCAGGCACUGAUGAAGAGAUGUGUGUGACGUGGUAUGGAAAGUGAUGAACGUUCCUAUGAGGCUCUAGAAGACACAGGUCAUCUGAAAGCAGAGCUGCUAUAGAGAUACCAUGUCUCACUACUAAAGGACCUGAAAUCUACGCCCAAUUGAGGGGCGCAAGGGAAACCAACGGCCACCUCAGUCCCCUUAUGAAGAUGCAGGAACUGGUCUGGUGAAAUGACAUCACUUGUUCAAGGCCAUGGAGAUGGCCAGUCUAUGAUAUGAAGGAAGAUGUAUCAGAAAACUGAUCUAUACAGUUGAACAAAUACUGUUCCCUCAAAAGGUAAUCUGUUGCUAGAGCUAGAGGAAAGUUGAAAACAUGGCUUUAAAAAGAAAACAACAUAUGAGAUCAUGCACCUUCAGUGGUUACAGGGAAGUGUUCCAGGCCUGAACCAUGUGCGUUACGGCUUUUAUGAACGAUGCAUCCAGUCUAUCAGAAGAGGGCUGAUGUCACCAGACAAGCUAACUUUUGAAAUAGUCAACGAACUGUAUGUGAACUGGGCAAGGUGAAGAAACUGAAGCUUAGGAACCAAGAUUGAAUUAAAAGCCCAAUGGCCUUACUCUUGAACUUCCUCCCAGGGAGCAGGCCUUCCCCUGGAAGACAAUGGGGUUCGGUCUACUUCUCGCUAUUCCUGUGUUGCUUUCCUGAGGACAACGAAACUACGCCUUUGGUUCAGUGACGUCUCAGAAAGCUCUUGGAGGGAAUUGCAUUCUAUCCACAAGAGUGGAGGUACAACUCCAACUUCAAAAGAAGAGGUUGUGUUUGCCAUUUUCUCAGGGUUUGGGUCUGGCUGGGGUGAAAGAUGUUCAGUAACUGAGAAAGCAUCCUGGUCACACUGUAGAAUUUCUUCUAAAUUCUCUCCUUGGAAUCUGAGUGUGAUUAUGAAUUUUUUUAGUAUUUAAUCCCAUAGGUAAGUGAUUAGGGGGAAAAAAUGUAAGGCUCCUUAAAAAAGGCAAUAAUGACAAAAAGGUAGAGAAACACGGCAUUAGA